CAUCCACUACCUCUAUAAAAGCACGAAGAGGCAGAUCCAACUCACCAUCUCACCUGCCUGAUUACGUCAUCAAUCGUCAAGAAUUAUCAUUAAAAAAUUCAUCCCAGCUAACGAAACCAAUUGAAGCCAAUCCCAUCGGCGAGGAAACCCACCCACACUUCCACGCCCGGGAACCGCUCACAAAAUCACCUCGCUUGAGAACUCAUCCAGGCCUAGCUCNNNNNNNNNNNNNNNNNNNNNNNNNNNNNNNNNNNNNNNNNNNNNNNNNNNNNNNNNNAGCCGCCGUCGCUGCCUCGCGCAACAACCACAACCAUUGCCCUCGCCUCACAUAGCGACGCGUCGCCCGUCGCUCGGCCAACCCGGACAAGCAGGACAAGGGCGCAGGGCAAGGAAAGGACAUGGGCGAUCGCAAUGAACCCUCCUUUCAUGGUAUUUAUCAUUUUUAUGCGAUGAACGCAACCUGUAGGUGCCUCCGUUCAUGAUUUGCAUAUCCAGAAUUUGUUGUCUGGCCAUCUAAGAGAAUUAGCUCACUACGCUAAGGAAUUAGGACAAUUCAGUUACAUGAUCUGACUGUUUAUAGAGGGAUCUAAAAGACUGAUGAUAUGCAAAUAUGAUCUCAAGUCUCAAAGUGCAUGUUGUUCUAUGUUCUUGGGCAUGUACAAAGGCUUAGAUAAACACCACCAAGGUUGAGGACGAAAAAGAUUGCACACACUAACCAUUAUUAUCUUCUUGUGAUAAUUUUAGGCUUGUACGAGGAAACUUGAAGAGGCAAUUUUAGUUGGUGGUGUGCUUUAAUAUUUCAUAUUGUUGUUCGUGUGUUCCUGUUGGAAAUAUGCCCUAGAGGCAAUAAUAAAGUGGUUAUUAUUAUAUUUCCUUGUUCAUGAUAAUUUUCUAUUGUUCAUGCUACAAUUGUAUUAACUGGAAACAGUAAUACAUGUGUGAAUAUAUAGACCACACCAAGUCCCUAGUGAGCCUCUAGUUGACUAGCUCGUUGAUCAAAGAUGGUUAAUGUUUCCUAACCAUAGACAAGUGUUCUCACUUGAGUUCUAGAAUGGUCUGGAAACGAAGAUUGAUAUAUAGGAAGUUGGUAGUUCGUAGUAUCAUUUCCCUAGACCAUGAGAUUGUGCAACUCCCGGAUACCGUAGGAGUGCUUUGGGUGUAUCAAGAAUCACAACGUAACUGGGUGAUUAUAAUGGUGCACUACAGGUAUCUCUGGAAGUGUAUGUUGGGUGGGCACGAAUCGAGAUUGGGAUUUGUCACUCCGUAUGAAGGAGAGGUAUCUCUGGGCCCACUGAGUAAUACAUCAUCCUAUUGAGCUCAGUGUGACUAAGGAGUUAGUCACAGGAUCAUGUGUUACGGAACGAGUAAAAAAACUUGCCUCUAACGAUAUUGAACAAGGUAUGGGGAUACCGACGAUCGGAUUUCGGGCAAGUUAUAUACCGAUAGACAAAGGGAAUUGCAUACGGGAUUGAUUGAAUCCCCGACAUCGUGGUUCAUCCGAUGAGAUCAUCGUGGAACAUGUGGGAGCCAACAUGGAUAUCCAGAUCCCGCUAUUGGUUAUUGACCGGGGAGGUGUCUCGGUCAUGUCUGCAUGGUUCCCGAACUCGUAGGGUCUACACACUUAAGGUUCGAUGACGCUAGAGUUGUAAUGAGAAUAAUAUGUGGUUAUCAAAAGUUGUUCGGAGCCCCGGAUGAGAUCCCAGACGUCCCGAGGAGCUCCGGAAUGGUCAGUAGGUAAAGAUUCAUAUAUAGGAAGUGGAGAUUAGAUCACAGGAAAUGUUUCGAGGAUCAUCGGUAUUGUACCGGGACUACCGGAAGGGUUACGGGGGUUCACCAGCCCCGGAGAGCCACGUGGGCCAAAAGUGGAAGGAAACCAACCCCUAGAUGGGCUGGUGCGUCACCCACCAAGGCCCAAGGAACCUAGGGCUAGCAACCCUAGGGCGUGGAGGUGGCCCACCUCCAACUUGGGAGGCAAGCCACCUCCCACCUGGCCACCGCCCCCUGCUUGGACCGCCGCCCCUCCUAGGGUUACCUAGGGUGGCCGGCCUGCCUUUCCCCUCCCCUAUAUAUACCCAAGGGUUUUGGGGCUGCAACACACAACUUUUCUCUCCCUCUUGGUGCAACCCUACCCUCUCUCUUUCUCCUCCUCCGCGGUGCUUGGCGAAGCCGUGCCGGAGAACCACAUAGCUACACCGCCACCACGCCGACGUGCUGUCGAAGCUCUCCAUCAACUUCCCCUCUCCCCUUGCUGGUUCAAGGUAGAGGAGACAUCAUCGGUUUGCACGUGUGUUGAACGCGGAGGCGUCGUUGUUCGGCGCUUUGGAUCACAUCUACCGCGAUUUGAAUCGCUAUGAGUACGACUCCAUCACCCGCAUUCCUAGUAACGCUUCCGCUUAGCAAUCUUCAAAGGUAUGAAGAUGCUCUACCCCUUGCUCGUUGCUAGCAUCUCCUAGAUUGAUCUUGCUGUUUCGUUGCUAGCAUCUCCUAGAUUGAUCUUGCCGCGCCCGAAGAUGGAGAUCAAAGGCGCAAGAUGAUAAUGGCCAUAUCAUGUCACUAUAUGAUUUGCAUGUGAUGUUUAUCAUGUUGUUCAUCUUAUUGCUUAGAAUGACGGUAGCAAAGAUAAGAUGAUCCCUCGUUAAAUUUCAAGAUAAGUAUUCCCCUAAGUGUGCACCGUUGUGAAGGAUCGUUGUCUUGAAGCACCAUGUGAUGGUCGGGUGUGAUAGAUUCUAACGUUCGCAUACAAUGGGUGUAAGCCAGAUUUACACACACAAAACACUUAGGUUGACUUGACGAGCCUAGCAUGUACAGGAAUGGCCUCAGAAUACGAGAGACCAAAAGGUCGAACAUGAGUCGUAUGGAUGAUACGAUCAACAUGGAGAUGUUCACCAUUGAUGACUAGUCUGUCUCACGUGAUGAUCGGACACGGGCUAGUCGACAUGGAUCAUGUAUCACUUAGAUGACUAGAGGGAUGUCAAUCUAAGUGCGAGUUCAUUAAAUAAUUUGAUUAGAUGAACUUAAUUAUCAUGAACUUAGUCUAACAAUGUCUUUACAGUAUUGUAGAUCCAAUGGCCAAUGCUCCUGUCAACCUCAAUUUCAACACGUUCCUAGAGAAAACCAAGCUGAAAGACGAUGGUAGAAACUAUGUGGACUGAGCUCGUAACUUAAAGCUCAUCCUCAUUGCUUCCAAGAAGGCAUAUGUCCUUGAUGCGUCGCUAGGUGACCCUCCCGUUCCCACGGCAGCCCAGGACGUUCAUAACGCGUGGCAGUCACGAAGUGAUGACUACUCUCUGGUUCAUUGUGGCAUGCUAUACAGUUUAGAACCGGGGCUCAAAAAACGUUUUGAGCAACCUGGAGCAUAUGACAUGUUCGAGGAGCUGAAAUUGGUUUUCCAAGAUCAUGCCCAGAUCAAGAGAUAUGAGGUCUCCGACUAGUUCCUCAGCUGUAAGAUGGAGGAAAAUAGUUCUGUCAGUGAGCACAUACCCAGAAUGUGUGGGUUGCACAACCGUCUGUCUCAGCUGGAAGUUAAUCUUCCGGAUGACGCGGUUAUUGACAGAAUCCUCCAGUCGCUUCCACAUAGCUACAAGAGGUUCGUGAUGAAUUAUAACAUGCAAGGGAUGGAAAAGAACAUUCCCGAGUUAUAUUCAAUGCUGAGAUCAGCGGAGGUGGAAAUCAAGAAGGAACAUCAAGUGUUGAUGGUGAAUAAGACCACUAGUUUAAUAAAAGGCAAGGGUAAAAAGAACUUCAAGAAGGACGGCAAAGAAGUUGCCACGCCCGGUAAAAAGGUUUCCUGGAAGAAGCGCAAGAAUGUCGCAAGCCUGAGACUGAGUGUUGUCAUUGCAAGGGAGCCAGUCACUGGAAGCGAAACUACCCCAAAUACUUAGCGGAUAAGAAGGCCGGAAAUGUCAAAGGUAUAUAUGAUGUACAUGUUAUUGAUGUGUACCUUACCAGCACUCGUAGUAGCUCCUAGGUAUUUGAUACCGGUGUUGUUGCUCACAUUUGCAACUGAAAAACAGGAACUGCAGAAUAAGCAGAGACUGGCAAAGGGCAAUGUGACGAUGCUCGUGGGAAUGGUUCCAAGGUCGAUGUGAUCGUCGUCGGCACGCUACCUCUACAUCUACCUUCGGGAUUAGUUUUAAACCUUAAUAAUUGUUAUUUAGUACUAGCUUUGAGCAUGAACAUUGUAUCUGAAUCUCGUUUGAUGCGAGAUGGCUACUCAUUUAAAUCUUAGAAUAAUGGUUGUUCUAUUUAUAUGAGUGAUAUGUUUUAUGGUCAUGUCCAUCUGGUCAAAGUUUAUUCUUAAUGAAUCUCGAACGUGAUGUUAUGCAUAUUCAUAGUGUGAGUACUAAAAGAUGCAAAAUUAAUAAUGAUAGUCCCACAUACUUGUGGCAUUGCCUCCCUGGUCAUAUCGGCGUCAAACGCAUGAAGAAACUCCAUGCUGACGGACUUUUGGAGUCUCUUGAUAAUGAAUCAUUUGACACGUGCAAGCUGUGCCUCAUGGGUAAGAUGACUAAGACUCUGUUCUCCGGAACAAUGGAGCGAGCAACCAACUUGUUGGAAAUAAUACAUAGCGAUGUAUGCGAUCCAAUGAGCGUUGAGGCUUGCGGUGGCUACCGUUAUGUUCUCACCCUCACUAAUGACUUAAGCAGAUAUGGGUAUGUCUACGUAAUGAAACACAAGUCUGAAACCUUUGAAAGGUUCAAGGAAUUUCAGAGUGAGGUUGAAAAUCAACGUGACAAGAAAAUAAAGUGCCUACGAUCUGAUCAUGGAGGAGAAUAUUUGAGUCACGAGUUUGGCACACACUUAAGAAAAUGUGGAAUUGUUUCACAACUCAUGCUGCCUGGCACACCUCAGUGUAAUGGUGUGUCUGAGCGUCGUAAUCGCACUCUAUUGGAUAUGGUGUAAUCUAUGAUGUCUAUUACUGAUUUAUCGCUAUCAUUUUGGGGAUACGCAUUGGAAACUUCCGCAUUCACUUUAAAUAGGGCACCGUCUAAAUCCGUUGAGAUGACACUGUAUGAAUUAUGCUUUGGGAAGAAACCUAAGCUGUCGUUUCUGAAAGUUUGGGGCUAUGAUGCUUAUGUGAAGAAACUUCAACGUGAGAAGCUCAAACCCAAAGCGAAAAAUGCGUCUUCAUAGGAUACCCUAAGGAAACUAUUGCGUAUACCUUCUAUCUUAGAUUCGAAGGAAAAUCUUUGUUGCCAAGAACGGAUCCUUUCUAGAGAAAGAGUUUCUCUCAAAAGAAGUAAGUGGGAGGAAAAUAGAACUUGAUGAGGUAACUGAAAUCCCUCUUGAACUAGAAAGUAGCGCAGCGUGGGAAAUUGUUCCCGUGGUGCCUGCACCGACUAGAGAGGAAGUUAAUGACGAUGAUCAUGAAACUUCGGAUCAAGUUACUACUGAACCUCUAAGGUCCACAAGGAUAUGUUCCGCACCAGAGUGGUUCGACAACCCAGUCCUAGAAAUAAUGUUGUUAGACAACGGUGAACCUUCGAACUAUGAAGAAGCAAUGGUCGGCCCGGAUUCCAACAAAUGGCUUGAAGCCAUGAAAUUCGAGAUAGGAUCCAUGUAUGAGAACAAAGUAUGGACUUUUGUGGACUUGCCCAAUGAUCAGCAAUCCACAGAAAAUAAAUGGGUCUUUAAGAAGAAUACUGACGCAGAUGGUAAUGUGACCGUCUAUAAGGCUGAGCUUGUCGCUAAGGGUUACCGACAAGUUCAAGGAGUUGACUACGAUGAGACUUUCUCACCCAUAGCGAUGUUGAAGUUCGUCCGAAUCAUGUUAGCAAUUGCCGCAUUUUAUGAUUAUGAGAUCUAGCAAAUGGACGUCAAAACGACAUUCCUUAACAGUUUCCUUAAGGAAGAAUUGUAUAUGAUGCAUCCAGAAGGUUUUGUCGAUCCUAAGAGUGCUGACAAGGUAUGCGAGCUCCAACGCUCCAUCUAUGGGCUGGUGCAAGCAUCUCAAAGUUGGAACAUUCACUUUAAUGAGGUGAUUAAAUCGUUCGGGUUUAUGCAGACUUAUUGAAAAGCCUGCAUUUACAAGAAAGUGAGUGGGAGCUCUGUAGCAUUCCUCAUUUUAUAUGUGGACGACAUAUUGCCGAUGGAAAAUGAUAUAGAACUUUUGGAAAGCGUAAAAGCCUACUUGAAUAAGUAUUUUUCAAUGAAGGACCUUGGGGAAGCUGCUUACAUAUUAGGCAUCAAGAUCUAUAUAGAUAGAUCGAGAUGCCUCAUAGGUCUUUCACAAAACACAUACCUUGACAAGAUAUUGAAGAAGUUCAAUAUGGAUAAGUCUAAGAAGGUGUUAUUGCAUGUAUAGCAAGGUAUGAGAUUGAGUAAGACUCAAUGCCCGACCAAAGCACAAGAUAGAGAAAAGAUGAGUAACAUCCCCUAUGCUUCAGUCGUAGGCUCUAUUAUGUAUGCCAUAGUGUGUACCAGACCUGAUGUGAACCUUGCCAUGAGUUUGGUAGGGAGGUACCAAAGUGAUCCUGGUAUGGAACGCUGGACAACGGUCAAUAAUAUCCUAAAGUACCUGAAAAGGACUAAAGAUAUGUUUCUCGUUUAUGGAGGUGCCGAAGAGCUCGUCGUAAAGGGUUACGCCGAUGAUAGCUUCGACAGAGAUCCGGAUGACUCCAAGUCACAAAUCGGAUACGUGUAUGUUUUGAAUGGUGGGGUAGUCAGCUGGUGCACUUUUAAGCAAGGCGUCGUGGCGGCAUCUACAUGUGAAGCAGAGUACAUAGCUGCUGCAGAAGCAGCGCAUGAAGGGAUCUGGAUGAAGGACUUCAUCACUGACCUAGGAGUAAUUCCCAGUGCGUCGGGCCCGAUGACUCUCUUGUGUGAUAACACUGGAGCUAUUGUCAUAGCCAAGGAGCCCAAGCACAUCAAGCGCUGCUUCAACUCCAUCCGUGAUUACAUUCAGGAAGGAGAUAUAGAUAUUUGUAAAGUACAUGCAGAUCUGAAUGUUGUAGAUCUUUUGAGUAAACCUCUUCCGCGAGCGAAACAUGAUCAACACCAGAACUCUACGGGUGUUCGUUUCAUCACAAUGUAACUAGAUUAUUGACUCCAGUGCAAGUGGGGGACUGUUGGAAAUAUGCCCUAGAGGCAAUAAUAAAGUGGUUAUUAUUAUAUUUCCUUGUUCAUAAUAAUUGUCUAUUGUUCAUGCUACAAUUGUAUUAAGAGGAAACAGUAAUACAUGUGUGAAUAUAUAGACCACACCAAGUCCCUAGUGAGCCUCUAGUUGACUAGAUGGUGGAUCAAUAGAUGGUCAUGGUUUCCUGCUCAUGGACAUUGGAUGUCAUUGAUAAUGGGAUCACAUCAUUAGGAGAAUGAUGUGAUGGACAAGACACAAUCCUAAGCAUAGCACAAGAUCGUGUAGUUUGUCUCCUAAAGCUUUUCUAAUGUCAAUUAUCAUUUCCUUAGACCAUGAGAUUGUGCAACUCCCAGAUACCGUAGGAGUGCUUUGGGUGUAUCAAAAGUCACAACGUAACUGGGUGAUUAUAAAGGUGCACUACAGGUAUCUCCGAAAGUGUCUGUUGGGUGGGCACGAAUCGAGACUGGGAUUUGUGACUCCGUAUGACGGAGAGGUAUCUCUGGGAUCACUCGGUAAUACACCAUCCUGUUGAGCUCAAUGUGACUAAGGAGUUAGUCACACGAUCAUGUGUUACAGAACGAGUAAAAGACUUGCGAGUAACGAUAUUGAACAAGGUAUGAGGAUACCGACGAUAGGGUCUCGGGCAAGUUAUAUACCGAUAGACAAAGGGAAUUGCAUACGGGAUUGAUUGAAUCCCCGACAUCGUGGUUCAUCCGAUGAGAUCAUCGUGGAACAUGUGGGAGACAAUAUGGAUAUCCAGAUCCCCCUGUUGGUUAUUAACCGGAGAGGUGUCUCGGUCAUGUCUGCAUGGUUCCCGAACCCGUAGGGUCUACACACUUAAGGUUCGAUGACGCUAGAAUUGUAAUGAGAAUAGUAUGUGGUUACCGAAAGUUGUUCAGAGUCCCGGGUGAGAUCCCGGAUGUCACGAGGAGCUCCGGAAUGGUCCGGAGGUAAAGAUUCAUAUAUAGGAAGUGGAUAUUAGAUCACCGGAAAUGUUUCAAGGAUCAUCUGUAUUGUACUGGGACCACCAUAAGGGUUUCGAGGGUCCACCGGGAGGGGCCACCAGCCCCGGAGAGCCACGUAGGCCAAAAGUGGAAGGGAACCAGCCGCUAGAUGGGUUGGUGCGCCACCCACCAAGGCCCAAGGCGCCUAGGGCUGGUUACCCUAGGGCGUGGAGGUGGCCCACCUCCAACUUGGGAGGCAAGCCACCUCCCACCUGGCAACCGUCCCCUGCUUGGGCCACCGCCCCUCCCAUAUGGGUGGCCGCCGCCCCUCCUAGGGUUUCCUAGGGUGGCCGGCCUGCCCUUCCCCUCCUCCUAUAUAUAUCCAAUGGUUUUGGGGCUGCAACAUGCAAGUUUUCACUCCCUCUCGGCGCAGCCCUACCCUCUCUCUCCAUCCUCCUCCGCGGUGCUUGGCGAAGCCCUGUCGGAGAACCACAUAGCUCCACCGCCACCACACCGUCGUGCUGCCGGAGCUCUCCACCAACUUCCCCUCUCCGCUUUCUGGUUCAAGGUAGACGAGACGUCACCGGGAUGCACGUGUGUUGAACAUGGAGGCACCGUUUGUCGGCCCUUUGGAUCACAUCUACUGCGAUCUGAAUCGCUACGAGUACGACUCCAUCACCCGCGUUCAUAGUAACGCUUCCGCUUAGCAAUCUUCAAAAGUAUGAAGAUCAUCUACCCCUUGCUCGUUGCUAGCAUUUCCUAGAUUGAUCUUGGUGUUUCGUAGGAAUUUUUUUGAAUUUCUCCCUCGAGCCCCAACAGUUCCUCCAUCAUCGUGUCUUCUUCUAUUAGUUUGAAUUUUCUAGCGCAUGAACUACCAAGUGAAUUUUCCUAGCUCCGAUGGUUGCGCCACUGAGGAUGCUAUCAGCGAAAAUAAAGGCAAUUUGUACUGGGACGUCUUGGCCGAGCUGCAGGACCUCCGCCUCGACGAGCUGUAGAAUCUCCACCUCGCUCUGGUUUUUGUGGUACGGGCCCUUCCCCACUCCAUCAAAUAGUGACUUAUAUUUUGUUCUGCUUUGUUCUUAGACAAGUGUGGUAAAUUGUAUGGUAAAGUGUGGCAUCUACUACCCCUAUAAAGCACGAAGAGACAGAUCCAAAUCCUCAACUCAGCCAUUUGAUUACAUCAUCAAUGAUCAAAAAUCAUUGUUAACGAAAUUCAUCCCAUCGCUAACGAAGAUAAUCCCAUCGCUGAGGAAACCCACCCCCACUUCAAUGCUCAAGAACCGCUCGCAAACUCAGCCACGCCGCCCGACCUCCCCACCCCCGAUGGUCGCUCGCCUCGUCCAGCCACCGGCCCCGCUCGGCCCACUUGCCCCCACUCGUCGCUCGCCUCGCGCCGUCGCCCUUGUCUCACACAGCCUCGUGCAGUCGCCGCCCCCGCCUCGUGCAGCCACCGCCACCACCUUGCGCAGCCUCACGCCGUCCUCUCUGCUCACCCGGACAAGCGGGACAAGGGCACCGUUCAAGGAGAGGACAGGGGCGAUCGCGGUGAACCCUCCGUUCAUGGUACUGUAACGUCCAAGAUGUGGCACUAUCCAUAUUUGGGGAUUAGGUCUUAAUAUGGAUAGAGGCACAUCUUAGCGUUUCGCAAGUACAUAAAUCACCGCAAUACAUUUAUGAAGAGAAGAGUAUAUUGAUUAGCUUACACUCGCCACAAGUUAAGUUACAAGCCACACAACAUUAGUUCAAUCAUCCUAAGACCGGGUCCGGCUACAGACAAGAUAAAUGAUAAAAUGCAAUGACUCUGCCUCGUUAGUCUAGGAAACGAGCAAGGUCCUCUAAUCAUCGGGGUACAUUACGUACAAGCGCCCACUGCCUUCAUCGAAAUCCCAUUGAAGAUCGAUAACCCACAAGUAUAGGGGAUCGCAACAGUUUUCGAGGGUAGAGUAUUCAACCCAAAUUUAUUGAUUCAACUCAAGGGGAAGCGAAAGAAUAUUCUCAAGUAUUAGCAGUUGAGCUGUCAAUUCAACGACACCUAAAAGAUUUAGUAUCAGUAGCAAAGUAGGGUGAUAGCAGCAGUAGCAACAGUAACCAGUAGCAGCAAAGUAACAACAGUAGGAACAGAGUAACAACAGCAGCAGUCACAGCAGUAGCGGCAAAGUAACGUAGCAAGGACCAGUAGAAAAAGACUCGUAGGCAUUGGAUCAGUGAUGGAUGAUUAUGCCGGAUGUGAUUGAUCAUGCAACAGUUAUAACACGGAGAGAUAAGUAAAUAGCUCCAGUUCGUCAAUCUAAUGUAGGCAUGUAUUCCGCAUGUAGUCAUACGUGCUUAGGGAAAAUAACUUGCAUGACAUCUAUUGUCCAUCCCUCCCAUGGCAGCGGGGUCCUAAUGGAAACUACAGGAUAUUAAGGUUCUCCUUUGAAUAAAGAACCGGACCAAUGCAUUAACACUUGGUGAAUACAUGAACUCCUCAUACUAUGGUCAUCUCCGGGAGUGGUUCCGGCUAUUGUCACUCCGGGGUUGCAGGGUCAUAACACAUAGUAGGUGACUACAACUUGCAAGAUAGGAUCUAAAACACACAUAUAUUGGCGACAACAUAAUAGGUUCAGAUCUGAAAUCAUGGCACUCGAGCCCUAGUGACAAGCAUUAAGCAUGGCAAAGUAGUAGCAACAUCAAUCUCAGAACAUAGUGGAUACUAGGGAUCAAUUCCCGUCAAAACUAACUCGAUUACAUGAUAGAUCUCAUCCAACCCAUCACCGUCUAGAAAGCCUACGAAUAGAUUACUCACGAACGGUGAAGAGCAUCAUGGAAUUGGCGAUGAAGGAAGGUUGGUGAUGACGAUGGCGUCAAAGUUUGUUUUCUUGUGCUAAUGAUAUCACGAGUUUCUGUUUAAGUUUUGUGUUGUGAAGUUUUCAAGUUUUGGGUGAUGAUCUCAUGGACAAAGGGAUAAAGAGUGGAAAGAGCUCAAGCUUGGGGAUGCCCAAGGCAUCCCAAGCCAAAUUCAAGGACACCAAAAAGCCUAAGCUGGGGGAUGCCCCGGGAAGACAUCCCCUCUUUCGUCUCCAAUCCAUCGGUAAUAUUACUUGGAGCUAUAUUUUUAUUCACCACAUGAUAUGUGUUUUGCUUGGAGCGUCUUGUAUCAUAGGAGUCCUUUAUUUUUGUUGUGUCACAAUCAUCCUUGCUGCACACCUUUUGAGAGAGACAUGCACUCAUCGUGAAUUUUCUAGAAUACUCAUUGAGCUUCGCUUAUAUCUUUUGAGUUAGGCAAUUUAGCUCAUUGUGCUUCACUUAUAUCUUUUGAUCUAGAUAACUUUUCUCUUUGUGCUUCACUUAGAUCUUUUAGAGCACGGCGGUGUCAUAUUUUGGAGAAAUAAGAACUCUCGAUCUUCACUUAUAUCUUUUUGAGAGUGCUCUCUCUGAGUAACUUGGUAGUUGGCUUGUGUUAUGAAAGUAGUCCGAAAGAUGAUAGGCGCCCAAAGAGGAUACAAUAAAACUUCCAUAUUCAUGUGCAUUGAUUAGAAAGAGAAGUUUGAUUCCUCUCAAAUAGUUUUGAGACAUGGAUUUGGUAAUAUUAAGAGUUAUGCUAGUAGGGUGUUGUGAAUCUAGAAAUACUUGUGUUGAAGUUAGUGAUUCCCGUAACAUGCACGUAUGGUGGACCGCUAUGUUAGGAAGUCGGAGCAUAUUUGAUUUAUUGAUUGUCAUCCUUUGUGUUGCGGUCGGGAUUGCGCGAUGGUUAACACCUACCAACCCUUCCCCUAGGAGUAUGCGUUUAGCACUUUGUUUCGAUUACUAAUAAAAACUUUCGCAAUAAGUAUGUGAGUUCUUCAUGACUAAUGUGAGUCCAUGGUAUAGAUACACUUUCACCUUCCACCAUUGCUAGCCUCUCUAGUGCCGUGCAACUUUCGUCGGUACACAAAACCACAAUAUGCCUUCCUCAAAACAACCACCAUACCUACCUACUAUGGCAUUUUCAUAGCCAUUCCGAGAUAUAUUGCCAUGCAACUCCCACCGUUCGGUCUCAUGACUUGUGUCGUNNNNNNNNNNNNNNNNNNNNNNNNNNNNNNNNNNNNNNNNNNNNNNNNNNNNNNNNNNNNNNNNNNNNNNNNNNNNNNNNNNNNNNNNNNNNNNNNNNNNGUGAUCUCAUCCGGGACUCCGAACAACAUUCGGUAACCAACCAUAUAACUCAAAUACGCAUAAAACAACGUCGAACCUUAAGUGUGCAGACCCUGCGGGUUCGAGAACUAUGUAGACAUGACCCGAGUGACUCCUCGGUCAAUAUCCAAUAGCGGGACCUGGAUGCCCAUAUUGGAUCCUACAUAUUCUACGAAGAUCUUAUCGUUUGAACUUCAGUGCCAAGGAUUCAUAUAAUCCCGUAUGUCAUUCCCUUUGUCCUUCGGUAUGUUACUUGCCCGAGAUUCGAUCGUCAGUAUCCGCAUACCUAUUUCAAUCUCGUUUANCCGGCAAGUCUCUUUACUCAUUCCGUAAUACAAGAUCCCGCAACUUACACUAAGUCACAUUGCUUGCAAGGCUUGUGUGUGAUGUUGUAUUACCGAGUGGGCCCCGAGAUGCCUCUCCGUCACACGGAGUGACAAAUUCCAGUCUCGAUCCAUACUAACUCAACGAACACCUUCGAAGAUACCUGUAGAGCAUCUUUAUAGUCACCCAGUUACGUUGCGACGUUUGAUACACACAAAGCAUUCCUCNNNNNNNNNNNNNNNNNNNNNNNNNNNNNNNNNNNNNNNNNNNNNNNNNNNNNNNNNNNNNNNNNNNNNNNNNNNNNNNNNNNNNNNNNNNNNNNNNNNNACGGUGCCCUAUUUAAAGUGAAUGCUGCAGUUUCUAAUGCGUAUCCCCAAAAUGAUAGCGGUAAGUCGGUAAGAGACAUCAUAGAUCGUACCAUAUCUAAUAAAGUGCGAUUAUGACAUUCACACACCCCAUUACGUUGCGGUGUGCCAAGCGGCGUCAGUUGUGAAACGAUUCCACACUUCCUUAGGUGUGUGCCAAACUCGUGACUCAAAUAUUCUCCUCCACAAUCAGAUCGUAGACAUUUAAUUUUUUCUGUCACGUUGAUUCUCAACCUCACUCUGAAAUUCCUUGAACUUUUCAAACGUCUCAGAUUUGUGCUUCAUCAAGUAGAUAUACCCAUACCUACUCAAAUCAUCGGUGAGAGUGAGAACAUAACGAUAACCACCGCGAGCUUCAACGUUCAUUGGACCACACACAUCAGUAUGUAUUAUUUCCAAUAAGUCGGUUGCUCUCUCCAUUAUUCCUGAGAAUGGAGUCUUAGUCAUCUUGCCCAUGAGGCACAGUUCGCAUGUGUAAAAUGAUUCAAAGUCAAGAGACUCUAAUAGUCCAUCAAUAUGGAGCUUCUUCAUGCGCUUAACGCCGAUAUGACCAAGGCGGCAGUGCCACAAGUAUGUGGGACUGUCAUUAUCAACUUUACAUCUUUUGGUACUCACACUAUGAAUAUGUGUAACAUCACGAUCGAGAUUCAUCAAGAAUAAACCAUUCANNNNNNNNNNNNNNNNNNNNNNNNNNNNNNNNNNNNNNNNNNNNNNNNNNNNNNNNNNNNNNNNNNNNNNNNNNNNNNNNNNNNNNNNNNNNNNNNNNNNAGGUUGACUCGACGAGCUUAGCAUGUACAGACAUGACCUCGAAUACAAGAGACCGAAAGGUCGAACAUGAGUCGUAUGGUUGAAUACGAUCAGCAUGAAGUUGCUCACCAUGGUGACUAGUCCGUCUCACGUGAUGAUCGGACACGGGUUAGUCAACAUGGAUCAUGUAUCACUUAGAUGACUAGAGGGAUGUCGAUUUAAGUGGGAGUUCAUACUUAAUUUGAUUAAAUGAAAUUAAUUGUCAUGAACUUAGUCUAAAAGUUGUCUUUAUAAAUAUUGUAGAUGUCCAACGUCAACCUCAAUUUCAACGCAUUCCUAGAGAAAAACAAGCUGAAAGAUGAUGGUAGCAACUAUGCGGACUGGGUUUGCAACUUGAAGCUCAUCCUCGAAGCAGCUAAAAAGGCUUAUGUCCUUAAUGCGCCGCUAGGUGACCCUCCCGCUCCCGCAGCAGCCCAGGACAUUCUGAACGUCUGGCAAACGCGGAGUGAUGACUACUCUCUGGUCAGGUGUGGCAUGUUAUACAGUUUAGAAACGGGGCUCCAAAGGCGUUUUGAGCAACAUGGGGCAUAUGAGAUGUUCCAGGAGCUACAGCUAGUUUUUCAAGCUCAUGCCCGUGUCGAGAGAUAUGAAGUCUCCGACAAGUUCUUCAGCUGUAAGAUGGAGGAGAACAGUUCUGUCAGUGAGCACAUACUCAAAAUGUCUGGGUUACACGGUCGUCUGACUUCACUUGGAGUCGAACUUCCGGAUGAUGCUAUUAUUGACAGAAUCCUCCAGUCUCUCCCACCAAGCUACAAAGGCUUUGUGCUUAACUACAAUAUGCAAGGGAUGGAGAAGACCAUUCCCGAGUUGUACUCGCUGCUCAACUCUGCAGAAGUAGAAAUCAAGAAAGAGCAUCAAGUCUUGAUGGUCAACAAGACCACUAGUUUCAAGAAAGGCAAGGGUAAGAAGAACUUCAAGAAAGACGGCCAAGCUGUUGCCGCGCCCGGUAAGCCAGAUGCCGGGAAGAAGAAAAAGAACGGACCCAAGCCUGAGACUGAGUGCUUCUAUUGCAAGGGAAAGGGUCACUNNNNNNNNNNNNNNNNNNNNNNNNNNNNNNNNNNNNNNNNNNNNNNNNNNNNNNNNNNNNNNNNNNNNNNNNNNNNNNNNNNNNNNNNNNNNNNNNNNNNUCUCUCCUACUCUAGUCGGAUUGGAUUUGAUGAAAAGGGUCCUUAUGAAGGGUAAAUAGCUUUGGCAUAUAAUCGUUGUGGCUGUCACGUAGGUAAGAAGGCGUUCUUGCUAGAAACCCAAAUCAGCCACGUAAAACUUGCAACAACAAUUAGAGGACGUCUAACUUGUUUUUGCAGGGUUUGACAUGUGAUGUGAUAUGGCCAAAGUUGUGAUGUUGCAUGUAUAAUGUAUGAGAUGAUCAUGUUAUUGUAAUAGGUUUCACGACUUGCAUGUCGAUGAGUAUGACAACCGGCAGGAGCCAUAGGAGUUGUCUUAAUUUAUUGUAUGAGAUGCAACGCCAUGUGCUUACUACUUUUACUUCAUUGCUAACAGUUAGCUAUAGUAGUAGUGAUAGUAGUAGUUGGCGUGACGACAUCACAGAGACACGAUGAUGGAGAUCAUGAUGAUGGAGAUCAUGGUGUCACGCUGGUGACGAUGAUGAUCAUGCGAUGCCUGAAGAUGGAGAUCGAAAGAGCAAAGAUGAUAAUGGCCAUAUCAUGUCACUAUAUGAUUGCAUUGUGAUGUUUAUCAUGUUUUACAUCUUAUUGCUUAAAACGACGGUAGCAUAAUAAGAUGAUCCCUCUUAAAAUUUCAAGAACGUAUUCCCCUAAGUGUGCACCGUUGCGAAGGUUCAUUGUCUCGAAGCACCACGUGAUGAUCGGGUGUGAUAGAUUCUAACAUUCGCAUACAACCGGUGUAAGCCAGAUUUACACACGCGAAACACCUAGGUUGACUCGACGAGCUUAGCAUGUACAGACAUGACCUCGAAUACAAGAGACCGAAAGGUCGAACAUGACUCGUAUGGUUGAAUACGAUCAGCAUGCAGUUGCUCACCAUGGUGACUAGUCCGUCUCACGUGAUGAUCGGACACGGGUUAGUCAACAUGGAUCAUGUAUCACUUAGAUGACUAGAGGGAUGUCGAUUUAAGUGGGAGUUCAUACUUAAUUUGAUUAAAUGAAAUUAAUUGUCAUGAACUUAGUCUAAAAGUUGUCUUUAUAAAUAUUGUAGAUGUCCAACGUCAACCUCAAUUUCAACGCAUUCCUAGAGAAAAACAAGCUGAAAGAUGAUGGUAGCAACUAUGCGGACUGGGUUNNNNNNNNNNNNNNNNNNNNNNNNNNNNNNNNNNNNNNNNNNNNNNNNNNNNNNNNNNNNNNNNNNNNNNNNNNNNNNNNNNNNNNNNNNNNNNNNNNNNAAUACCCAGGAGCUACUACGAGCGCUGGUAAGGUACACAUCAAUAACAUGUAUAUCACAUAUACCUUUAACGUUGCCGGCCUUCUUGUCCGCUAAGUAUUUGGGGCAGUUCCGCUUCCAGUGACCCUUUCCCUUGCAAUAGAAGCACUCAGUCUCAGGCUUGGGUCCGUUCUUUUUCUUCUUCCCGGCAUCUGGCUUACCGGGCGCGGCAACAGCUUGGCCGUCUUUCUUGAAGUUCUUCUUACCCUUGCCUUUCUUGAAACUAGUGGUCUUGUUGACCAUCAAAACUUGAUGCUCUUUCUUGAUUUCUACUUCUGCAGAAUUGAGCACCGAGUACAACUCGGGAAUGGUCUUCUCCAUCCCUUGCAUGUUGUAGUUAAGCACAAAGCCUUUGUAGCUUGGUGGGAGAGACUGGAGGAUUCUGUCAAUUAUAGCAUCAUCCGGAAGUUCGACUCCAAGUGAAGUCAGACGACCGUGUAACCCAGACAUUUUGAGUAUGUGCUCACUGACAGAACUGUUCUCUUCCAUCUUACAGCUAAAGAACUUGUCGGAGACUUCAUAUCUCUCGGCACGGGCAUGAGCUUGAAAAACUAGCUUCAUCUCCUGGAACAUCUCAUAUGCCUCAUGUUGCUCAAAACGCCUUUGGAGCCCCGUUUCUAAACUGUAUAACAUGCUACACCUAACCAGAGAGUAGUCAUCACUCCGCGUUUUCCAGACGUUCAGAAUGUCCUGGGCUGCUGCGGGAGCGGGAGGGUCACCUAGCGGCGCAUCAAGGACAUAAGCCUUUUUAGCUGCUUCAAGGACGAGCUUCAAGUUGCGAACCCAGUCCGCAUAGUUGCUACCAUCAUCUUUCAGCUUGUUUUUCUCUAGGAAUGCGUUGAAAUUGAGGUUGACGUUGGACAUCUACAAUAUUUAUAAAGACAACUUUUAGACUAAGUUCAUGACAAUUAAGUUCAUUUAAUCAAAUUAAAUAUGAACUCCCACUUAAAUCGACAUCCCUCUAGUCAUCUAAGUGAUACAUGAUCCAUGUUGACUAACCCGUGUCCGAUCAUCACGUGAGACGGACUAGUCACCAUGGUGAGCAACUCCAUGCUGAUCGUAUUCAACCAUACGAAUCAUGUUCGACCUUUCGGUCUCUUGUAUUCGAGGUCAUGUCUGUACAUGCUAAGCUCGUCGAGUCAACCUNNNNNNNNNNNNNNNNNNNNNNNNNNNNNNNNNNNNNNNNNNNNNNNNNNNNNNNNNNNNNNNNNNNNNNNNNNNNNNNNNNNNNNNNNNNNNNNNNNNNGCGGAGACUGGCCAAGGACGAGGUGACGAUGCGCGUCGGGAAUGGUUCAAAGGUCGAUGUGAUCGCCGUCAGCACGCUGCCUCUACAUCUACCGUCGGGAUUAGUUUUAAACCUUAAUAAUUGUUAUUUAGUACCAGCUUUAAGCAUGAACAUUGUAUCAGGGUCUUGCUUAAUGCGAGACGGCUACUCAUUUAAGUCAGAGAAUAAUGGUUGUUCUAUUUAUAUGAGUGAUAUGUUUUAUGGUCAUGCUCCGCUGGUGAAUGGUUUAUUCUUGAUGAAUCUCGAUCGUGAUGUUACACAUAUUCAUAGUGUGAGUACCAAAAGAUGCAAAGUUGAUAAUGAUACUCCCACAUACUUGUGGCACUGCCGCCUUGGUCAUAUCGGCGUUAAGCGCAUGAAGAAGCUCCAUACUGAUGGACUAUUAGAGUCUCUUGACUUUGAAUCAUUUGACACAUGCGAACCGUGCCUCAUGGGCAAGAUGACUAAGACUCCAUUCUCAGGAAUAAUGGAGAGAGCAACCGACUUAUUGGAAAUAAUACAUAUUGAUGUGUGUGGUCCAAUGAACGUUGAAGCUCGCGGUGGUUAUCGUUAUGUUCUCACUCUCACCGAUGAUUUGAGUAGGUAUGGGUAUAUCUACUUGAUGAAGCACAAAUCUGAGACGUUUGAAAAGUUCAAGGAAUUUCAGAGUGAGGUUGAGAAUCAACGUGACAGAAAAAUUAAAUGUCUACGAUCUGAUCGUGGAGGAGAAUAUUUGAGUCACGAGUUUGGCACACACCUAAGGAAGUGUGGAAUCGUUUCACAACUGACGCCGCCUGGCACACCGCAGCGCAACGGAGUGUCUGAACGUCGUAAUCGCACUUUAUUAGAUAUGGUACGAUCUAUGAUGUCUCUCACCGACUUACCGCUAUCAUUUUGGGGAUACGCAUUAGAAACUGCAGCAUUCACUUUAAAUAGGGCACCGUCUAAAUCCGUUGAGACGACACCGUAUGAACUAUGGUUUGGCAAGAAACCUAAGUUGUCGUUUCUUAAAGUUUGGGGCUGCGAUGCUUAUGUGAAGAAACUUCAACUAGAAAAGCUCCAACCCAAAGAGGAGAAAUGCGUAUUCAUAGGAUACCCUAAGGAAACUAUUGGGUAUACCUUCUAUCUUAGAUCCGAAGGUAAAACCUUUGUUGCCAAGAACGGAUCCUUUCUAGAGAAAGAGUUUCUCUCGAAAGAAGUAAGUGGGAGGAAGGUAAAACUUGAUGAGGUAAUUGCACCCCCUCUCGAACAGGAAAGUAGCGCAGCGCGGGAAGUUGUUCCUGUGGCGCCUAUACCGAAUGAAGAGGAAGUUAAUGAUGAUGAUCAUGAAGCUUCGGAUCAAGUUACUACUGAACCGCGAAGGUCCACAAGGGCACGCUCCGCACCAGAGUGGUACGGCAACCCUGUGAUGGAAAUCAUGUUGUUAGACAAUGGUGAGCCUUCGAACUAUGAAGAAGCAAUGGCGGGCCCGGAUUCCAACAAAUGGCUUGAGGCUAUGAAAUCCGAGAUAGGAUCCAUGUAUGAGAACAAAGUAUGGACUUUGGUGGACUUGCCCGAUGACCGGCGAGCCAUAGAAAAUAAAUGGAUCUUCAAGAAGAAGACUGAUGCAAACGGUAAUGUAACCGUUUACAAAGCUCGACUUGUCGCAAAGGGUUUUCGACAAAUUCAAGGAGUUGACUACGAAGAGGCUUUCUCUCCCGUAGCGAAGCUGAAAUCAGUUCGAAUCAUGUUAGCAAUUGCCGCCUUUUAUGAUUAUGAAAUUUGGGAAAUGGACGUCAAAACAGCGUUCCUUAACGGGAACCUUAAGGAAGAGUUGUAUAUGAUGCAACCAGAAGGUUUUGUCGACCCUAAGGGUGCUAACAAAGUGUGCAAGCUCCAGCGCUCCAUCUAUGGGCUGGUGCAAGCAUCUCGGAGUUGGAACAUUCGCUUUAAUGAGGUAAUUAAAGCGUUUGGGUUCAUACAGGUUUACGGAGAAACCUGUCUGUACAAGAAAGUGAGUGGGAGCUCUGUAGCUUUCCUCAUACUAUAUGUGGAUGACAUAUUAUUGAUGGGGAAUAAUAUAGAGAUGUUGGAGAGCAUAAAGGCCUAUUUGAACAAGAGUUUUUCAAUGAAGGACCUUGGAGAAGCUGCAUACAUAUUAGGCAUCAAGAUCUAUAGAGAUAGAUCGAGACGCCUCAUAGGUCUUUCGUAAAGUACAUACCUUGACAAGAUAUUGAAGAAGUUCAAUAUGGAAAACUCAAAGAAAGGGUCAUUGCCAGUUUUGCAAGGUAUGAGAUUGAGUAAGACUCAGUCGCCGACCACGGCAGUAGAUAGAGAGAAGAUGAGUUAUGUCCCCUACGCUUCAGCCGUGGGCUCUCUAAUGUAUGCCAUGUUGUGUACCAGACCUGAUAUAAACCUUGCCAUAAGUUUGGUAGGGAGGUACCAAAGUAAUCCCGGUACGGAACACUCGACAGCGGUCAAGAAUAUCCUUAAGUACCUGAAAAGGACUAAGGAAAUAUUUCUCGUUUAUGGAGGUGACGAAGAGCUCGUCGUAAAGGGUUACGUCGACGCUAGCUUCGACAUAGAUCCGGAUGACUCUAAGUCACAGACCGGAUACGUAUAUGUGUUGAAUGGUGGGGCAGUGAGCUGGUGCAACAGCAAGCAAGAAGUCGUGGCAGCAUCUACAUGUGAAGCGGAGUACAUAGCUGCUUCAGAAGCGGCUCAUGAAGGAAUUUGGAUGAAGGAGCUCAUCACUGACCUUGGAGUGGUUCCAAGCGCGUCGGGUCCCAUGACACUCUUCUGUGAUAACACUGGAGCCAUUGCCAUAGCCAAGGAGCCCAGGUUUCACUGAAAGACGAAGCACAUCAAGCGCCGCUACAACUCCAUCCAGGACCAUGUCCAGAGUGGAGUGAUAGAUAUUUGUAAAGUACACACGGAUCUGAAUAUUGCAGACCCGUUGACUAAACCUCUUCCACGAGCAAAACAUGAUCAACACCAUAAUGCUAUGGGUGUUCGAUACAUCACAAUGUAACUAGAUUAUUGACUCUAGUGCAAGUGGGAGACUGUUGGAAAUAUGCCCUAGAGGCAAUAAUAAAAUGGUUAUUAUCAUAUUUCCUCGUUCAUGAUAAUCGUCUAUUGUUCAUGCUAUAAUUGUAUUAACAGGAAACAGUAAUACAUGUGUGAAUAAAUAGAUCACAAUGUGUCCCUAGGAAGCCUCUAGUUGGCUAGCUCGUUAGUCAAUAGAUGAUCAUGGUUUCCUGAUCAUGGGCAUUAGAUGUCAUUGAUAACGGGAUCACAUCAGUGGGAGAAUGAUGUGAUGGACAAGACCCAAUCCUAAGCCUAGCACUAGAUCGUAUUGUUCGUAUGCUAAUGCUUUUCUAAUGUCAAGUAUCUUUUCCUUCGACCGUGAGAUUGUGCAACUCCCAGAUGCCGUAGGAGUGCUUUGGGUGUAUCAAACGUCACAACGUAACUGGGUGACUAUAAAGGUGCACUACGGGUAGGGGGGGGGGGGGGGGUUGGGUUGGUACGAAUCGAGAUCGGGAUUUGUCACUCCGUGUGACGGAGAGGUAUCUCUGGGCCCACUCGGUAGAACAUCAUCAUGAGCUCAAUGUGACUAAGGAGUUAGUCACACGAUGAUGUGCUACGGAACGAGUAAAGAGACUUACCGGUAACGAGAUUGAACAAGGUAUAGGUAUACCGACGAUCGAAUCUCGGGCAAGUUCUAUACCGACAGACANNNNNNNNNNNNNNNNNNNNNNNNNNNNNNNNNNNNNNNNNNNNNNNNNNNNNNNNNNNNNNNNNNNNNNNNNNNNNNNNNNNNNNNNNNNNNNNNNNNNGGGGGGGGGGGAGGGUGUUAGAUUUGUAUUGCCCCUUUUUUGUAUAUCCCCAUUAUAUAAGGGGUUUCUACCACUUUUACCAUAUGUAUAUAUAUUGGCCUUUGGCCCCUGUGAAUAUUUGCUCAUUAUCUAACAGAUCCAACACAAGGUUGGGUCGAAGCUAGUUUAUAUCUGGGACGUUACACCAACCUCUCAAGCCAAUCCAACAUUGCAGACAGAUUUAUGAUACACUUCCUUUUCACGAGCCCGAGGCAAUGUACCUAUGUCAAAAAAAGUAGGAGUUCGAGGCAAUGUACCUAAUACAAACUGUGAAGCCUUCCCACCUAGGCUAUACAUGAGGUCCUUGAGAUGCUCUAUAAGAUAUCGGUUAAAAGAGAAAACGUCCAAAAUAAGAGAAAUAUAACUAUAUUUUUUUUGUAUUUGUCGCUUCAAAGGAUCAGUAUGUUGGACAAGAAGAGAAGCACUGAAGUAGCAUCACUCAUCAUCAAGGUCAAAAUCGUUGUCCGAUGCGCACUCGAGAUAUGAACCAAUCGACUUGCGGAAGAUGAUGAAAGACUUGUCAUCCUGUGAAAAAAGAAUGCAUUAUUUUGCAGGAAGAGGUGUUUCAAGCCAUGGAACAAAAAAAACUGGCUGGUCAUUCAGCUUUAGGCCUGACGGGUAGCUAAAAAUGAAGUCUAAGAAAUGCAAGCAGUUGUGAAUUUUGCCACACCUGCUUCAUCCUUUUCAGUGAUGGUUUGGCAUUUGUUAUCUUAUCUGAUAAGGUGUCACCAUGUUCUGACAAUGUAGCCGUCUCCUCCCCUGUUUGAAGGAUUUGAGUGUAAGAGCAGCAUAUUUCCAUCCAAGGGAAAUAAUGAAUCCUCUAGCUACUUACUUUGAUAUUCAUACUGCUCAAGCAGUUUCUUUUUCUCAACUUCAAUUUGUGAGGAUAGAUCUGCAUAAUAGGACAUGUAACAAGUCAAAUAAGAGCCAAAUAUUUUUGCAGAUUCAAUGAGAUCUGAACGUCUUUUAUGGGAACAUCAUCCAAAUAAUGCUGAGUCGCUAAUAAGCAGUAGCCAAGCAAUGCAUAUUUAGAAACAACACACAUAAUUUGAAUACAAGUGUCAUGUAGAUUCUAUUUGCAUCAAAACCAGGUAUCUCAAUAUUUUUUCUAAAGAUAAGAAUCACAGCUCAUACGUAGUAGCCGAUUACACCAAAUGAGAAACAACCAUCACACGUCACAAUGCCCUAAAAUCCUAGAUAGACCUGGAUAGAAGCACAUGAUAUACUUGUGAAAAUGACAACCAGCUCUUAUUUGACAUACCUUUGAAGGUUUGUAAGUGUGCAUCAUUUUCUUCGCAGAACAUUUCAUAUGUUUCCUGAAGCUUGGUGUACUCUUCGUUCAAUGAACUUUCACACUGCUAAUAGUGCAAAUUACACGCCAUAAUUCAAUCUUAGGCAAAUCAGCAAGUAAGUCGACAAUUCCAAAGAAUUGUAAACUGUGUACCUCUUUCGAAGUGCUUGACAGUACUUUCAGCAAAUUCUGCCUGCACAUGCAAAUAUAACAGUGACACUACGUUCUAAAUAAAAACGAACAAGCUUCCUUUUCUGACAGAACUGGUUUCAGGCGUAAUUGUUCAUGCAGGCAUCGUUUCACAGUUCACAAGCAAGUGAGUUACCUUUCCUUCUCAAACUUGGACUUGGUAUCUUCAAGCAUAGUCUGAAUAUUGGCUGCAACACUGUCAGGUUUAGAAAAGUAAAGGAAUAAACAGGGUAAGAAGAAGGUAAAAGAAUAAUGAUCAGCAACAUUAUGCGCUUCAAACUUCACAGUUCAGUCAGCGGAGUCCCUGUUAGUCCACAUGUUAUAAUUUUCGGCUUCUUUUCCUCCCCGAUGCCUGUGUAAAUAAUUCUUUGUAAUAGUUCUGAGAAGUUUAUAGAAAUGUUCAGGCUGGCUUUGCCGGCCGUAGUUCUGAAAAUCAACUCACCCGAACAAAGCCACACCAUGACAUAAGUACAAAACAUGAAUCCGGGAACCCAUCAAAUUAAUAUGUCCAUUUUCCUCGCAUCACUCACAAUGCAUAUCGCUCCGCAUAAUAUACAAAAACUGACAUAUCACCGAACGAACCUAGUUCCUGCAUUAAUCACAGAAACAGCCGAGUGGACGCAUUGCAGGAUUGCAAACGUGCAACAUUUAUUUGUAUCCCUCCCAGUGACCAUGAACUGUAAGUUUUCCACACAAAUCCGCCAGCACGAAAUGCAUCAUAAGAAGCUGCUAGGAUAGCAUACGCCGAUCCCAAUUUUUUUGCACGCUAGCACAUAGCGAGAUAAGAGAAAAUUUAGAGGUGCAAGUGCAACCGAAAGAACACUGUUCUCCGCACCUGGCGAUGAUCUGCUCGCACAUCUUCUGGCCAGCCUUGUUGGUCCCGCCCUUGAUCAACCGCAGCAGGCACGCGAUCUGCCUCAAGUCGCUGCGCCCGCCACAAAAGUAGCCAUCACGGAGUUAAAGCGAGAAGGAAUUAGAAACGGGAGACACCGAAUCGAAGAGGAAAAGCUCGAAAUCAGAUGUGCGGCACCUGACGAAAUCGCCGUCAGAUUCCGAGCCGGAGCUGGAGCCGGAAUCGGAACCGGAGCCGAAAUCCACGGGGUGGCGCGGCCUCUUCGACGACCGCAGAGCCUCUUCACCCAGGGACAUCCUCCUUCCGCCGCCGGGACUCGCCGCGGGCCGCAUCGCUGGUCGACGAGCGUAGUGCAGCGCAAUUCGAAAUUUGGAGGGGGAGCGAGAGGGUAGUGAUGUAAUACUGGCAAAAUUUUGGUGGCCCACUCACAGUAUUGGCUUUUGUAAGGGAAAGUGUUCGUGCGCGCAAGGCUACGAGCAACUAGUUCCUCCUCUUGUAAUUUUUUUUUCCUUCGACGCGUCCGUUGAAGUGUUCGGCCGGUCGCGUUCCUUCCUCACGUUUUUCUUCCACCUUUUCCUUUUCCCCUCCCGCGCACACUCGGAUUUUUUCACUGUUUUAACCUUUUUUCUAAANNNNNNCACAAAAUGAACCAGAUUUGAAACCAUUUCACGAUCUGACCCUUUUAAAAACGCCACAAGCCGUGGCGUUGCUNNNNNNNNNNNNNNNNNNNNNNNNNNNNNNNNNNNNNNNNNNNNNNNNNNNNNNNNNNNNNNNNNNNNNNNNNNNNNNNNNNNNNNNNNNNNNNNNNNNNUGGACAAGAAUACAUGGAGUUACUCAAGCCAUUGAAUCAUUUGACUUUGUUUUCAAUCUUCACUUGAUGCUUGUUAUUCUUGGCUAUACAAAUGAGUUGUCCAAAUCUUUGCAAAAGAGAGAUCAAGAUACUAUUAAUGCAGUGGCACUUGUUAGUUUGGCAAAGAGUAGAAUGCGACACAUGAGGUGUCAUGGUUAGGAAGAAUUUCUUGCAAAGCUAACCCUAUUUUGCCAGAAACAUGACAUUCAAGUUCCUUUGUGGGAGGAUACUUAUGCAGGGGCAGAAUUAGCAUGGGUUCACGUCUAGGGCCAAAUUAGCUUCAGUGGUGUAUUUUAGAGAUUUUUUGUACUUAGUAAGUAGGUAUUACAAAGACUAUUGUCACUACACCUAGGGCUAUAGCCCCAUUUUCCCUAGGCCUGAUUCCAACAUUGUACUUAUGAGCAUCAUGGAAUAUCACGUUGGUAUAAUGAAGUUCAAACAAAUGAUGAUCGUUAUAAAAGAGAAGUAUAUCUUGGUGUCAUUGAUCAAACCAUUCUAUCCCAUGGACAUAUCAAGCACGGAUUUGAUAAGGCUAGAAUUUCAACUUGCUACUUUUAUUGAUGAUACGAGACAAGAUGAUAUUGGUGAGCUCUCUAUUUUACUUGUUGCAACAAAGAAUCAUAUUCUCUAUGAUUUGGUCUACUUACUCAUCAAAUUGAUAUUGAUUUUACCGAUGGCAACAACGAGUGUUGAAAGGGUAUUUUCUGCAAUGAAUCUAGUGAAAAAUAAAUUAAGGACUAGUAUGGGUGAUGAUCGUUUGGUGACAAUUAUUAAGCGAGAUGUGUUCAUGAAAGUAAAUGAAGAUGACAUAGUUGAUGCUUUCAUGACAAUGCAACGACGUAGAGUUACCUAGUGUUGUAAUUUUCUACUUCUGUUACUUUCAUGUAAGUCUUUUCUAUUGUAACUGGGCACAUUUGAAAUACAUUUUAUGUACUAAAUGGUUGUGAGAUUUCAAUUGAGCUAUUUAUGUUACUCAUUUGACAUAUUUUGAUACAUUUGGAUUAGGUAGGAAAAAAAUAGAGUGCGCAUGCCCUUUAUUUUAUUCCUGGGUACCCACACAAUGGAACGCAAAAAUAUCCAGCCGAGCGAGCAGUAAAUCCACCAUACGGGAUGUGCAUACUUAAUACUCCUACAUUGCAACAAAUAAUCGUGAAAAAAAAUGGAAAAAGAAACCAUAUGCGAUCAGGCACAUGACGAAGGAAGGGUCACAUGAAUGAAGAAGAGAGAAAAGCCACAUAUCGACCCGAAUAGCGAAGUGUGGGAGCCGCGAUGGCGGGCACUGGCAGCCAUACAUUGGGCUAUCCAAAAUCUCAUCUCUCGCCCAAUCCCGGCCUCACGAUCUCAAUUCUCACCCCGCGUGCACCACAAGCUCCAAUCCCCUAACUCGUAUAUACAGCCACGCCCGCCUCACCGUCCUUGAUCUUCCCCCCUAUCUGAUCGGAUCCUUUGGACAUGGCGUCGCCCAUGCUCUCCACGGCCAUGGCGCCACUCCAGGUAUUGCUCGUGUUCCAUUUCCAUUCCAUGCUUGCGUAGUAGUACAGUUCUUCCAUGUUUGUGACGCGCGGUGGUUAUGUAACUGGACUGCCAUGCAUCCUCUGUCGAUCCAGGGGGGCAUGCUGGAGUUCUCCGGGCUGAGGAGCUCGUCGUCGCUGCCGCUCCGGCGGAAUGCCACCUCCGACGACUUCAUGUCCGCCGUCUCCUUCAGGACAUACGCGGUAUGAUAUGAAUAUGAUGGGCGGAAUGUGGCUGUCACCUAGGAGUACGUAGCUCGCUUGGUCGCAUGCCAUGAGACAUGAGCGGCGCGUGGUACGGUGGUUGCAGGUGAGCACGAGCGGCGGGUCGCGGAAGGCGCCGACGGAGGCGAAGCUCAAGGUGGCGAUCAACGGGUUCGGGCGCAUCGGGCGCAACUUCCUGCGGUGCUGGCACGGGCGCGGCGACAGCUCGCCGCUGGAGGUGAUCGCCAUCAACGACACCGGAGGCGUGAAGCAGGCGUCCCACCUCCUCAAGUACGACUCCACGCUGGGCAUCUUCGACGCGGACGUCAAGCCCGUGGGCGACAACGCCAUCUCCGUCGACGGCAAGGUGAUCAAGGUCGUGUCCGACCGCAACCCCUCCAACCUGCCGUGGGGCGAGAUGGGCAUCGACCUCGUCAUCGAGGGCACCGGCGUCUUCGUCGACCGCGCCGGCGCGGGCAAGCAUCUCGAGGCCGGAGCCAAGAAGGUGCUCAUCACCGCGCCCGGCAAGGGCGACAUCCCCACCUACGUCUGCGGCGUCAACGCCGACCUCUACACCCACGCCGACACCAUCAUCAGCAACGCCUCAUGCACCACCAACUGCCUCGCCCCCUUCGUCAAGGUCCUCGACCAAAAGUUCGGUACGUGCCCGUCUCCCUCCCUCUCUCUCUCUCUCAACUGAAUCAACUUGUUGACGAUGACUAAUGGCGGCGGUGGCAAUGGCGCAGGCAUCAUCAAGGGAACCAUGACCACAACCCACUCGUACACCGGCGACCAGAGGCUGCUCGACGCGAGCCACCGCGACCUGCGCCGUGCCCGCGCCGCCGCCCUCAACAUAGUGCCGACCUCCACCGGCGCGGCCAAGGCCGUGGCGCUGGUGCUCCCCAACCUCAAGGGCAAGCUCAACGGGAUCGCGCUCCGGGUGCCCACCCCCAACGUGUCCGUCGUCGACCUCGUGGUGCAGGUCUCCAAGAAGACCCUCGCCGAGGAGGUGAACCAGGCGUUCCGCGACGCCGCCGCCAACGAGCUCAAGGGCAUCCUCGACGUCUGCGACGAGCCCCUCGUGUCCGUCGACUUCAGGUGCUCCGACGUCUCCUCCACCAUCGACGCGUCGCUCAGCAUGGUCAUGGGAGACGACAUGGUCAAGGUCAUUGCAUGGUACGACAACGAGUGGGGUUACUCCCAGAGGGUCGUCGACCUCGCCGACAUCGUCGCCAACCAAUGGAAGUGAACGCCCCCCCACAGCGGCAUUGCCCUGUCAAGUGACUCCUCUCGAAAUUUUCCCCAGCCGUCGUCACGGAUGAUCGAUUCUUUGUAAUGAGAAUUCAAAGUAUCGAGCUCCCAACAC
rnacentral:lncRNA from 1 species